GCCUGUGUGGCUCAGUGGUUGAGCAUCUGCCUUCAGCUCAGGUCAUGAUUCUGGGAUUCUGGGAUCGAGUCCCACAUCAGGCU
rnacentral:tRNA from 1 species